AAGAUCAUGCUUCACAGGAUCACUUCUGUAGUAGCUAAUCUUGCACUUCUUCCCUAACACGGAAGUAAGAUUCAACCACGAUGAGGAGCAAAAGCCUCCUUCCUUGAGCGUGAGAACGACACGAAAUCGCGACUCGUUCGAUGUUUCUGUCAUCGAUGAUCGUUCACCUCUUGUACUCAGUGCGAGAGGCAGGGGAAGGCAGGCAUUCUGAGUGGC